rnacentral:lncRNA from 1 species
AGAUAGCGAUGCACAGUGUCAAAAUCCUGGACAACAAUAUUAAAGCCUGCAAUCAGUCAGAGAAAGAAACCCUUCUCACUUGAGAACUGUGAUGAGCUUCUGGAUCCGCUACCGGCUCACCAGACAUGGGCUGAGCCACAGUGGAGAGAAGCCAUACACGUGAGUGUGAAUCUUAAAGGCAUGAAGACAUGGCUCGCAUUCACCAGGACUAGAAGGUUGUCUAAACCUUGAGGCUCGGCUUCAUCUCCUUAUUGCCUUAGAUUUCAUUGACACGGUUCUGAAUCAGUUGAUGGCUGAACGUGAUUUUUUUGAGAGCCCACUUGACACUUCCACUCUACCAGUUUUGAGUGGGUGAAGGAAAAGUGACGGCCAUAUCGGAAAAUGACAAACAUGGGUCCUACUGCACAAGAUUGAACACGCACAACUGCUGCCCUUCCAGUGAAGAUGACACACACACUGGCCUCUACGGGGGUAUUCAGGCUCUACCACGUCAGCCUGAGCUCUGACACUUUCUCAUAGGUGGAACUUUUAGGGCUGUAAGAGAAUUCGCUACUUUUUGUCCUGAGUUAUGUUUGGGGCAAGUACAACAAAUUACAGAGUACCACUCUCCAUAUUUUUAAACAUAGUGGUGGCUGCAUCAUGUUCUGGGUAUGUGUGUAGUGGUUAAGGACGGG